UUAACUUGAAUUUUGGAAGAAGAAGAAGUAAAUGACACUACACUUCCCACUACAUUCUAAAGUGGAAAUCGACUGCGGUUCCAAUUCAUGAGCAAAUAUAAAUGCAAAUUGUGGUUCUAAAAUCUUUUUCUUUCAUCAGUUCCAUGGCUUCUGAAUCUGCACCAUAUCCGAGUCUGCCAAUAGGAAGAGUCUUCAGCAGAAUUUCUGAUUUCUUCGAUUUUCGGCAAAGAAACAACUCAGUUAGCAACCAAAGAUCUACCCAAGACGUUGAAAGGGAUGAGAUUCAGUACCCGAGUCCACUCUGUCUUUCAUCGUCUUACUAUAGUGUUUUCGUUGUUCGUCUUGCCAUUAUGGUAUGUGGUUUUUGUUUUUGUGUCGUAUUUCAAGUGAAGAAGGAAUAUGCAUGCUAUAUUGCCUGUUUGGGUAAUUACGAGAAUAAUUUGGUGGUAGGAAUUUGAUUUGAUUAGGUGAAAAUCAGUUGAACUUGAAAGUUGAAGAAAUAUAGGUAGGACAAUG
rnacentral:lncRNA from 1 species